AGGCAGGCGGUUUCGGUGGAAGCUGUUGGGGGUGCUCAGCACUUCUUUUGGCAGAGCUCGAUUAGCCAGAACCAUUCCACCUUUCCCUGGGCAAAGAUUAAGGACAGUACAGGUCAAAGAAAUACAUCUUGAAACUGGGCUGCUCCUUUUAAUGUCUUUGCUGUAAUUGAUGAUUGCUGAAGAGACAAGACCGACAACUAUCAGCUUUUCAAGUCCUGGCAAGUAAUGCAGACCCCAUGCUCCCUCACUGGCUUUAUCAGAAUCAAAGGCAAACAAGGGGCCCAGCUCUCAUUCGAAGUCGCAGCAUCAGGAUCUUGCCUCGACUUUCAGAGUUGUUAGCAGCACAAGAAAAACAACAGCUGAAGCUCCUCCCUGGAAUAAUUUUACAGAUACUGGAAACAUACACAUUAUUUUAAUAAAUAGAACAAUUUCAGAAACAAGAUAAAAACCUAAUGGGCAAGUUGUGCUAAUUUUCAUUCUAUUAUUUUCAUCUUUUUAUUACUUCAAGUCCUAUUUUUGAAAAAUACUUUGUUAAAUCA